rnacentral:siRNA from 1 species
CGGAUUACUCGCAAUCACGGUAC